rnacentral:misc_RNA from 1 species
GUACCUCUGGGAUGAAGUCAAUCAGACCUUCAGGAAUAAGUAUAACACCAUAGUUAUAACCAAGUUCAGCACGUUUGCAGACUACAUCUACAAUGUAAUCUGUAACACUUUUCAGUGUUUGCUUUUGAGCAGAAACCUCUUCCCCAAUAAUAGUAAUGUUUGGAUGAGUCUGCAAAGCGCACUCUAGGGUGAUGUGGGAAGCAGCACGCCCCAUUAGCCGGACAAAAUGAUAGUAUUUUCCAGUUGAUCUAGCAUCUAUCAUGACAUUACCGAUCAUUUCUGCAUAUAUCCUGCAAGCUGUAUCAAAUCCGAAACUUGUGGGCACCUCUUUGCACUUCAGAUCUCCAUCAAUUGUUUUGGGGCAACCAAUUACCCGGGUCUUCAAAUUUUUACCUCUGAAGUUUUCAGCAAGAAGGCAGGCAUUUGUAUUGGAAUCAUCUCCACCAAUCACAACAAGCCCAUCCAAAUCAAGCUUUUUUGCUGUUUCUUCAGCUUGUUUGAACUGCUCAGGAGUUUCAAUUUUGUCCCUCCCACUGCAUAUCAUAUCAAACCCACCCUGAUUUCUGUAUGGAUAAAUGUAUUCUGCAGUCAAUUCCACAUAUUUACUUUUCAUAAUCCCGGCAGGGCCACCCCUGAAGCCAUAUAAUACACUGCCUUUGGCGUGAUCCUGCAAGUAAUCAAAAAUUCCAGAAAUCACAUUGUGUCCUCCGGGGGCCUGGC